GACGAACGCUGGCGGCGUGCUUAACACAUGCAAGUCGAACGGAAAGGCCCUGCUUGCAGGGUGCUCGAGUGGCGAACGGGUGAGUAACACGUGGGUGAUCUGCCCCUUACUUUGGGAUAAGCCUGGGAAACUGGGUCUAAUACUGGAUAGGACCAUGCUGUAGGUGGUGUGGUGGAAAGAUUAGUUUCGGUAAGGGAUGAGCUCGCGGCCUAUCAGCUUGUUGGUGGGGUAAUGGCCUACCAAGGCGUCGACGGGUAGCCGGCCUGAGAGGGUGGACGGCCACAUUGGGACUGAGAUACGGCCCAGACUCCUACGGGAGGCAGCAGUGGGGAAUAUUGCACAAUAGGCGCAAGCCUGAUGCAGCGACGCCGCGUGGGGGAUGACGGCCUUCGGGCUGUAAACUCCUUUCAGCCAUGACGAAGCCCUUGUGGUGACGGUAGUGGUAGAAGAAGCACCGGCUAACUACGUG
rnacentral:rRNA from 1 species